rnacentral:rRNA from 1 species
UGAGGAAUAUUGGGUCAAUGGGCGAGAGCCUGAACCAGCCAAGUAGCGUGCAGGAUGACGGCCCUAUGGGUUGUAAACUGCUUUUAUAAGGGAAUAAAGUGGGUCUCGUGAGACUUUUUGCAUGUACCUUAUGAAUAAGGACCGGCUAAUUCCGUGCCAGCAGCCGCGGUAAUACGGAAGGUCCGGGCGUUAUCCGGAUUUAUUGGGUUUAAAGGGAGCGUAGGCCGGAGAUUAAGCGUGUUGUGAAAUGUAGAUGCUCAACAUCUGCACUGCAGCGCGAACUGGUCUUCUUGAGUACGCACAACGUGGGCGGAAUUCGUGGUGUAGCGGUGAAAUGCUUAGAUAUCACGAAGAACUCCGAUUGCGAAGGCAGCUUACCGUAGCGUUACUGACGCUGAAGCUCGAAAGUGCGGGUAUCGAACAGGAUUAGAUACCCUGGUAGU